rnacentral:rRNA from 1 species
GACGAACGCUGGCGGCGUGCUUAACACAUGCAAGUCGAACGGAAAGGCCCUGCUUUUGUGGGGUGCUCGAGUGGCGAACGGGUGAGUAACACGUGAGUAACCUGCCCUUGACUUUGGGAUAACUUCAGGAAACUGGUGCUAAUACCGGAUAGUAGCUCCUGCUGCCUGGUGGGGGUUGGAAAGUUUCGGCGGUUGGGGAUGGACUCGCGGCUUAUCAGCUUGUUGGUGGGGUAGUGGCUUACCAAGGCUUUGACGGGUAGCCGGCCUGGGAGGGUGACCGGCCACAUGGGGACUGAGAUACGGCGCAGACGCCUACGGGAGACAACAGUGGGGAAUAUUGCACAGUGGGCGGACGCCUGAUGCAGCAACGCCGCGUGCGUGAUGACGUCCUGCGGGUAGUAAACCGCUUUCGCCUGAGACGAAGCGUGAGUGACGGUAAUGUGUAAAUAAGCACCGGCUAACUACGUG